AAGUAAACUGAUUGUUUAGAGAACGGAGCUGCUAUUUGUGUUGUGAAGGAUAGCCCCCCAUUUAUUUACUCCGACUACUCUAAACAUUGGAUUAUUAUUCUCACCAUAAUGGGUCGAGUUAUGCAAAAGGUUUUUGGUACAGAAGUUCUGACAGAGAAGCAUCAGAUUUGGUUUGUGGUUUCGAUCUUUCUCAUUUUCCAGUUCAUCCUCUUCCUUAGUCUGGUCUAGAGAUCUAAUCUCCUCCUGUUCUCAUCUUUAUCUUGACGUAGAAUUAUUCAAAUGUACAAAGGGUAAAUGCUAAUUUAAUCCUAAUCUUUAUACUACAUACUUAGGUUUGAGUCCAUCUUUAUACUCAUCUGAUUAUGCCAUCCUUAUUAUCUUCAGAGUUUAAACUCAGUGCAUCCUUAUCUUCAUAAGGAUUUAGACCUAGUCCAUCCGUAUCUUCAUUAGGGUUUAAACUCAGUCCAUCCUUAUCUUCAUCAGGGUUUAAAUUCAUUCCAUCCUUAUCUUCAUCAGGGUUUAGACUCAGUUCAUCCUUAUCUUCAUCAGGGUUUAGACUCAGUUCAUCCUCAUCUUCACGAGUGUUUAGACUUAGUCCAUCCUUAUCUUCAUGAGGGUUUAGACUCAGUCCUUCCUUAACAUAGUUUUGAUUCAAUUUUUUCCAUCCCUUUUUUUGGUCUUUUCUUGUCUCAAUCUGUAUUUAACCCAUCCUGAGCUUUCUCCGCAUCCUGAGCUUUAGCUUGAUCUAAACUCAGACCAUCCUUUAUUCCAUAAUUUCUCACUAAUGUGUGUAUUUAAAUCUAUAUAACAAGAUAUAUUUUGUAUUAAAAAUUAAUAAAUAAAGGAGAGCCAAUGCACCAAAAUAUA